rnacentral:rRNA from 1 species
UAGUGGGGGACAACAUUUCGAAAGGGAUGCUAAUACCGCAUACGUCCUACGGGAGAAAGCAGGGGAUCUUCGGACCUUGCGCUAAUAGAUGAGCCUAAGUCGGAUUAGCUAGUUGGUGGGGUAAAGGCCUACCAAGGCGACGAUCUGUAGCGGGUCUGAGAGGAUGAUCCGCCACACUGGGACUGAGACACGGCCCAGACUCCUACGGGAGGCAGCAGUGGGGAAUAUUGGACAAUGGGGGGAACCCUGAUCCAGCCAUGCCGCGUGUGUGAAGAAGGCCUUAUGGUUGUAAAGCACUUUAAGCGAGGAGGAGGGUACUGGUAUUAAUACUACCAGGUACUGGACGUUACUCGCAGAAUAAGCACCGGCUAACUCUGUGCCAGCAGCCGCGGUAAUACAGAGGGUGCGAGCGUUAAUCGGAUUUACUGGGCGUAAAGCGUGCGUAGGCGGCUAAUUGAGUCGGAUGUGAAAUCCCCGAGCUUAACUUGGGAAUUGCAUUCGAUACUGGUUAGCUAGAGUGUGGGAGAGGAUGGUAGAAUUCCAGGUGUAGCGGUGAAAUGCGUAGAGAUCUGGAGGAAUACCGAUGGCGAAGGCAGCCAUCUGGCCUAACACUGACGCUGAGGUACGAAAGCAUGGGGAGCAAACAGGAUUAGAUACCCUGGUAGUCCAUGCCGUAAACGAUGUCUACUAGCCGUUGGUCUCUUUGAGGGAUUAGUGG